GCGCCCCCUGCCUCGAGGCGCACCAGGCGCCGGCCCCGCAGCUGGGUGAACCCGGGCGGCGGCCCCGCUGCCGCUCCUCUCGCGUCCGCCCGCCACCCCCCGCGCACUCAAGAAGCCUCCCCCGGGACCCCCGCGCCCGCCGGCCCGGACGCCCCCACCCCGGCGGCGCCCCCUGUCCACCCGCCGCAGCGCCCGGCCCGGCGGCCCGGAUUGCACCCCAGCCUCUCCCUGCACCCAUCACGCGCGCGCCCCGCACCCCGCGCCCUCUCCAGGAGCAAAUCGGCUCCAGGGGCGCGCGCGCGGGCUGGCCGGGCGGCGGCGCCUUCAGAGCCCCGCCACGUACCUGGCGGCCCGGGCGGACGAGGGGAGCGCGGCGCGGGAGCGCAGGAGACUCGGAGCCUCCGGUGCCGCCGCCGCCGUUUCCGGGUUGGCGGGGCUCACGUCACCGCCACAGGUUUGCGAGCUGCCCCCGCCGCGGCGGCAGCAGCAGCAGCAGCGGCCCGGGCGAGUGCCAGGCGAGAAAUAACUAUAAAAGGAAGAGGCGCGGCGAAGAGGAAGAGGAAGCGCUGUUUACCUUCGAGAAGCCGAGCCGCCGGCGCUCGCACAAAAGGAGGACGCUCGCCUCGCGACGCGCCUCCCCCCGCGCCCAGUCCCCGCCGCAUCGCGGGGCCCCGGCGUCAGCGCGCGCCGCGCCCCGGGACCGCCCUGCGCCGGCCCCCACCCCAGAACCCCGCGCCCGCCUGGCCCAUGUCCUCCCGAGCCGGGGCGCCACGGGCCCGGGAUGGUGGUGACCUUGGGCAAGUCACCGCGGGGCGCGCUGCGGUUGGGGGUCAUUGCCCUCAUUGUGCGAGGAGGAAACCCGGCCCUCAGAGGGGCAGGGGUGGCCCCCAAGGUCACGGCCUGUCAGGCAGGGCUUGGGCUCGAGUCCCGGUCUCCAGACCUUCGGACCGGCCAGGUUCCUGGCCCUGGGUCGCUUCCCCCUCACCUGGACUUCAGGAAUGGUGA
rnacentral:lncRNA from 1 species